ACUGGUUCGAGCCAGUAAAAAAAGGCCGAUAAGCUCGAAGCGUUCCACUCUUAGAGUGGAGGAGGCA
rnacentral:ribozyme from 15 species